UACGAAGGGGGCUAGCGUUGCUCGGAAUCACUGGGCGUAAAGGGUGCGUAGGCGGGUCUUUUAAGUCAGGGGUGAAAUCCUGGAGCUCAACUCCAGAACUGCCUUUGAUACUGGAGAUCUUGAGUUCCGGGAGAGGUGAGUGGAACUGCGAGUGUAGAGGUGAAAUUCGUAGAUAUUCGCAAGAACACCAGUGGCGAAGGCGGCUCACUGGCCCGGUACUGACGCUGAGGUGCGAAAGCGUGGGGAGCAAACAGG
rnacentral:rRNA from 1 species